AUUGAACGCUGGCGGCAGGCUUAACACAUGCAAGUCGAGCGAGCGGCGGACGGGUGAGUAAUGUCUGGGAAACUGCCUGAUGGAGGGGGAUAACUACUGGAAACGGUAGCUAAUACCGCAUACCCUCAGAUGUGCCCAGAUGGGAGUAGCUAGUAGGCGGGGUAAUGGCUCACCUAGGCGACGAUCCCUAGCUGGUCUGAGAGGAUGAAGAGCCACACUGGGACUGAGACACGGUCCAGACUCCUACGGGAGGCAGCAGGGGGGAAUAUUGCACAAAGGGCGCAAGCCUGAUGCAGCCAGGCCGCGUGUGUGAAGAAGGCCUUCGGGUUGUAAAGCACUUUCAGCGAGGAGGCGUUACUCACAGAAGAAGCACCGGCUAACUCCGUGCCAGCAGCCGCGGUAAUAC
rnacentral:rRNA from 1 species